ACGCUCGACACCUACGGGAGCAGCAGUGGGGAAUAUUGCACAAUGGAGGAAACUCUGAUGCAGCGAUGCCGCGUGAGGGAAGAAGGUUUUCGGAUUGUAAACCUCUGUCUUUGGGGACGAUAAUGACGGUACCCAAGGAGGAAGCUCCGGCUAACUACGUGCCGGCAGCCGCGGUAAUCUGAGCGGGCUGGCAAGGC
rnacentral:rRNA from 1 species